GACGAACGCUGGCGGCGUGCUUAACACAUGCAAGUCGAACGAGUGGCGAACGGGUGAGUAACACGUGGGUGACCUGCCCUUCACUUCGGGAUAAGCCUGGGAAACUGGGUCUAAUACCGGAUAGUGUGGGAUGGGCCCGCGGCCUAUCAGCUUGGUGGUGGGGUAAUGGCUACCAAGGCGCGACGGGUAGCCGGCCUGAGCGGGUGGACGGCAACAUUGGGACUGAGACACGGCCCAGACUCCUACGGGAGGCAGCAGUGGGGAAGAUUGCACAAUGGGCGGAAGCCGGAUGCAGCGACGCCGCGUGGGGGAUGACGGCCUGAGGGUUGUAAAGUACUUUCAGCGGGGAGGCGUUACCCGCAGAAGAAGCACCGGCUAACUCCGUGCCAGCCGCCGCGGUAAUUC
rnacentral:rRNA from 1 species